GUGGGGAAUAUUGGACAAUGGGCGAAAGCCUGAUCCAGCCAUGCCGCGUGUGUGAAGAAGGUCUUCGGAUUGUAAAGCACUUUAAGUUGGGAGGAAGGGCAGUAAGUUAAUACCUUGCUGUUUUGACGUUACCAACAGAAUAAGCACCGGCUAACUUCGUGCCAGCAGCCGCGGUAAUACGAAGGGUGCAAGCGUUAAUCGGAAUUACUGGGCGUAAAGCGCGCGUAGGUGGUUCAGCAAGUUGAAGGUGAAAUCCCCGGGCUCAACCUGGGAACUGCCUCCAAAACUACUGAGCUAGAGUACGGUAGAGGGUAGUGGAAUUUCCUGUGUAGCGGUGAAAUGCGUAGAUAUAGGAAGGAACACCAGUGGCGAAGGCGACUACCUGGACUGAUACUGACACUGAGGUGCGAAAGCGUGGGGAGCAAACAGGAUUAGAAACCCUUUGUAGUCC
rnacentral:rRNA from 1 species